rnacentral:tRNA from 1 species
UAGGACGUCGCCAAGUGGUAAGGCACCAGUUUUUGGUACUGGCAUUCGUAGGUUCGAAUCCUACCGUCCUAGCCA